rnacentral:rRNA from 1 species
AUUGAACGCUGGCGGCAUGCCUUACACAUGCAAGUCGAACGGCAGCACGGGAGCUUGCUCCUGGUGGCGAGUGGCGAACGGGUGAGUAAUACAUCGGAACGUACCCUGAAGUGGGGGAUAACGUAGCGAAAGUUACGCUAAUACCGCAUAUUCUGUGAGCAGGAAAGAGGGGGAUCGCAAGACCUCUUGCUUUAGGAGCGGCCGAUGUCGGAUUAGCUAGUUGGUGAGGUAAAGGCUCACCAAGGCGACGAUCCGUAGCGGUCUGAGAGGAUGAUCCGCCACACUGGGACUGAGACACGGCCAGACUCCUACGGGAGGCAGCAGUGGGGAAUUUUGGACAAUGGGCGCAAGCCUGAUCCAGCCA